ensembl:processed_transcript A230056P14Rik RIKEN cDNA A230056P14 gene
UCUUCGCCCCGCCCUGACAGCGAGCCGGAGGAGCCGUACCUUCUAAGGUCAUCUUUGCUCACCUACUGAUCAAAAAUCCAGCCCUGUUAUUUAAAAUCCGAUUUCCUGGGAGUCUUCACGUGGGACCUUUGGGAUGGAGGACGUAAGAGGUUGCCUUGAGUUUCAGAAGAGACUUUGGACUUUUGAAGUGUUAAACUGUUAAAAGACUAUGGGGACUUUUGAAGUUGGACUACAUAGUUUUGCAUCAUGAGAUGGCCAUGAACUUAUGUGGUGCAGAGGCCAGCUGUGGAGGCCGUCCUUUUUUCUACACCUAAAAGUCAUGACAUGUGAGUACCUGACAGAAGCCUAGAGACAAGCUUCUAAGCGAUCAGCAGAGCACCGACCACGAACUGGACCGUUAGGAACAAAGGAGGAUCGGUGACUGCAGAUUCUCCCCACCCCAGAGCUCUGACUUGGGAAAUUAUAUUUUCUUUUGCAUUUCCAAGUGAAUUGUGAAAAACUGGAUUUGUAUAAUAAACAAAAGCAUGAAGCCUACUGGAGCAAUCUGCUAACCAGAUGUAGACCUGGGUGAUCCGGCUGUUCCAGAACCUUAGGAGAACUAUUCAUACUAUACAAUCUCGCUUUACACGUGAAAUGAUAGCCUUUGGAUAUUCAUGGUAUAUUGUAGACUGAAACUUCAGAUAUAUCAACAGGUGCACUUAAAUUAACUCCAUGGGACGUAGCAAAAAUGAGCAAGGUUGAAGUUGAAUUCUUUGAACACUUGUAUGAGGACAAUUCCCACGGAGACAGUUGUAAAUCCACAGGCCAUGCCCAAGAAGUCCACCAGGCCCACAUUGCUCCACUCCCGGAAGAGGAUGGCUGAAGCCAGUAGGACCAGCGUGGUAAACACAACGUAGUAGAUGGCCCCAAAUACAGAGGAGUCGAAGCACUCCAGGGCCUUGUUGAUGUACCUGAAUUGGACAAUGAUGCUGCAGCCCAGGACAGCCAGGAGCACCAGGCACAGGCAGAGGGCUCUCUGACUGGAUGGAUUGUUGUGCAAGAUGUCUUGGGCUGCCAGCCCAAUGCCCUUGGUGGAAGGCACAGUGAAACUCCCCAGCAAGGAGCAGAUGCUGAUGUAGACCAUGAUGUUGGUGGGCCCGUGGGCUGGUGCGAUCCAGAAGAUCAACAGCAGCAGCAUGAGCAGCACGAUGCACAGGUAGCCCACAAACACUGCAAGACAGAUGGCACACAGUGACCAGGGAGGCCAUCCCCCCAAACACCAUCAAGAGGUCAGAGCUGAACCAGGGCCCGAUCCCUUUCCAGCCACCCCUUCAACCAGGGGGAGAGAGACCUAAGGGAGGACAGGUAACCAACCACUCAAUAGCUCUAACUUAAGUUUAUUAACACUCACUAAGUCCAUUCCACAAAAAAAGAUGAGACGGUUAUGUAGCUUAGUGGUAGAGCACUUGCCCAACAUACUCAAGGCCCUGGGUUUGAUCCCAAGUGUGGUAAAACAGAAAAUGUAUAGCUCCAAGCUACUGCAGCCACAAGGGUAAUGUUAGGCCAGAAGAACUGUUGCCUUCCCAGGAAUGUCCAUGCCUAGGAAUCUUUGCCUUGAGUUCUUUACCAUUAAAGACCUCAUUAUAAUUCUGCCUCUGGUUGGAUACAACCCUAACCAGGCUACAACUACCCAAUGCCCCUCCAAAUGGAAGGAAACAUGCUCUAAUGAAAAAAAAAAUCCAUCCCCAGGACUCCCAGGACCAAGCCUGGAGUAGCUGAAGAAACUGUGACCACCUCCAUCGACAGGAAGCCCCUUCAUAGCUCCCAACAGAGCUGUGAAAUGCUGCCCUAAAGUGUCAUAACUACUAAUAUUUAUAUGACCUACUCCAUUAGUACCAUUAAAAACAACAACAAAAACAGGUUUACAAACCUGAGAUCAAACAGACAAACAAAAUCCAACAACAACAACAACAACAACAACAACAACAACAACAAAACAAAGUGGCAGUUGGAGAGAUGGCUAAGAGGUUAAGAGCACUGGCCAGUGGCACUUCCAGAGGUUCUGAGCUUAACGCCCAGCAACCACAUGGUGGCUCACAACCAUCUGUAAUGGGCUCAAUCUGAUUCCCUCUUCUGGUGGGUCUGAAGGCAGCUACCCUGUAUUCAUGUACAUAAAAUACAUAAAUAAAUGGUUUUUUUUUUUAAACAACAAA